CGCGUAGGUGGUAGUGAAAGUCUAUGGUGGAAUCUUAGAGCUUAACCCUAAAACUGCCUUGGAAACUUCAUUACUUGAGUCAGUGAGGGGAGGGUAGAAUUCCUGGUGUAGCGGUGAAAUGCGUAGAUAUCAGGAGGAAGGCCGGUGGCGAAGGCGGCCCUCUGGCGCUGAACUGACGCUGAGGCGCGAAAGCGUGGGUAGCAAACAGGAUUAGAUACCCUGGUAGUCCACGCCCUAAACGGUGGGUACUGGGUGUAGGGCUCGUAAGGGUUCUGUGCCGAAGGGAAACCAUUAAGUACCCCGCCUGGGGAGUACGGCCGCAAGGUUGAA
rnacentral:rRNA from 1 species